GGGAAUGUGACUUAGUAGUAGAGUGCUUGACUGGCAUGCAAAAAGUCCUGGGUUCAAUUCUCAGUACCA
rnacentral:tRNA from 1 species